GAUUCUUCAUUUACUAUGUAAUAACAACGACAACAAAACCAUAAUGUUAUUUUUAGAGUGCCUUUUAGUUCUCAAAAUGUUUACACCUACUUAAAGUUAAAACAAAACAAUGGGCUUUAAUUGGCUGAACAGGAAAUGCCUGGGCCCUUCCAGGCAAAGAGGAAUUUAACCAUGAUGAACGGGAAGUGUCUAGGCAGCCAUGUUUCUCACCCGUGUGUGUUGUUUUUAGUCAAUCCCAGUCAUUAAGAUUGACUAGAAGGAACAGACUAUAACUCUCUUGGUCAUCACCCUACGCAGAAAACAAAGCUUUCAGAAUCAGGACACAAAGGACUCAAAGUGGAGAGCAGAAGUGCAGCACGGAGGAAACGCAGAGAAGCCAUUUCUAGGAGCAGUUCGAUAAAGAAAGGAAAGGACAUGAACUUUGAAGUUAAGAAGGCCGGGGUUUGAACUCACUGAUUAGUUACUUGACUUUGGGAAGGAGAUAACCAGUGGAGCACUAUCCCAGGAGAAUCACAGCACCAAGUGCCGGAAGAGGCAAUAGCAUCGGUCAAUAAGGGAGAAGCUUCUCCUUUGAGAAUAUAGCAAAGGAAGAGAAGGGAGAUGAGACAAAUUUGAGAGCUCACUCUUGUCUCCCAGCUAACAUCACCUGAAAUGAAAACCUUUUCCUUUCCAUAAGCCUGGUGUUCCAGUUUUGAUUUGGCCCUUCUGUGUGGUAGGCAAAGAACCUAUGUUUGCAUCUGCUAACAAUUUGGCAAGCUAGCCAGCAGGCUCCACGGCCCCAGAUUUAAGAAAAUCUUUUUCUCUUAAGGAAAUAUGACUGACAGCAAUUUGUAAGCAAAAUUGAAGUAUUUAUCUUUUUCUCCCUACCUGAUCCCUCCAGAAAUUGGAAACUCUUGCUUCCUGGCACAGGAAUCCAGCAUCCACUAUGGAGCCAAACAACCACAGACAUCCACCUGCAAAUUCCCUUAUCUCACCAUCCUCCUCCUUGCAAGCAGCCUCAAAGGGACAAAUGCAGACUGGUGGGGAAGCACCAAUUAGCAAGGCCACAGGCUUCCCCUCCCUACAAGCAGCUGCAUUCCUCACAACCUUUAAAACCCCUUGCCUCCCAUCUUUCAGGGAGAUGAGACAAAUUUGAGGGCUCACUCUUGUCUCCCAGCUGACAUCAGCCAAAAUAAAAACCCUUUCUUUGCCAUAAA
rnacentral:lncRNA from 1 species